GUGAAUUAAAUCCUGCAAAGGAAAAGACCCUCCCUGUAUGUGACUGAACGCUGGGACAUGCUGUUUAGGAAGGGUAAGUGUUUACAGGAUAUCGAUUAUCUGCCAUGAACGGCUUGGGCUUCGAUGUUCCUGGAAACAACUGGACUAAGAGGACUGGGUUACGUCAAUUCUGAAAGUAAAGAUUUUUAGAACUGAAGAGAUAACCCGUGUUAGGGCCGAUUUUUACUGUGCUUCACCCAUGUCUACCUGGUUCUGUUUCUUUAUCACCAUCUACAGAUUGCUGCUGCAAUCUGGUGAUUCCAGGUACUUCACGUACACUUUGGUUCUAGAUUAGCCCGAGCUUCUAGUUCACCAGUUAACAAUAGCUAGCACUUAUCCAGUGAAUACCAUGUGCUAAUACGCUCAAUACCUAGAUAUACUAAGCUUUUGUUUCGUUUUGUUAAUCCUCACCCGAGGAUUUCCAUUGAUUUUCAGGGAGAGUGGAAGAGAGAAACUCACCAAUCGGUCGCCUCCUGCAUGAGCCACGACCAGGGCCCGGGCUGGGGAGGAGUCUGCAACCGAGGUACGUGCCCUUGACCAGAAUCGAACCCGGGACCCUUUGGUCCGCAGGCCGGCGCUCUAUCCACUGAGCCAAACCAGGACACUGUACUGCAGAACCAAGUAGUCCAAGAAGAGAACCGGACCUAUCCUAAUGGCAGCAGCUUAGUCACCUGCAGCUCAGUUUCCUUUUUAGUCAGCAUUUUAUUCAGCACAGGGUUACCGACUGCACAUUGAAUGUGCCCUGAUCCUAGAACUGUCGCCACCUAAAACUGAACUAGAAAGAAUCAGCUUGCAACAAGUAGGAGUAAAAAUCUCUUCUAAAGGCACCUCGUACAUCUUUAAGAAAAGACUGAAUAUUUGCCGAGAUGAACAUGUCUUCUCGAUUUUUUCAGGUGUUCUAAAUUCCAAGGAAGCCACCAAUCCUGAGCUAAAUGAAUGCAACAAUUUCCAGAAUACAGCUUACUGAACAGGAUAUAAAGUAAUAAUAUGACAAAGUGUUGGUAACUGGUGAAAAAUACUGAACAAGCAGCAUUCUUUAGGGAAGACAUUGUUUAGCAUUUCUGCAACACUGUCCAGGGCAAAGCCUACCAACUGCUCUUGAUGGUUGGGAAGGAGGGUGUGCCUGGCCCAGGGGUAGAAGUGCUGCAGAAGGCUGAUCUCCGAGAAGCCGUGAGAAAAGCUCUUCCUGAGAGCUCGAUGGAGGUGGAAGCGGCUGGGGUUCUGCGCGGAGUGGACCGCAGUCAUCAACAGGGCCAGGAAGAGGAUUUGUGCUAUUGCAGAGAACACAGCCAUCACUGAGCCUUAGCUUAGACAGCCUCUACAGCUUUUUCUUCAUGUUUUCUGUCUACAAUACACUUCCACAGACCAAAACAGUCAAAAAUUGACAACUUCACACCUGGUUUAAACUAAUAAUUAUAAGCAUAAGCAAAAACAUUUGGCUGUUAGUGAUUAUAUCUAUAUAUCCCUCCCAAGAAUCAUUCUGCCACUAAUUAGAAAUUUUACUUAAGAAACAUAAAAUCCCACACACAAUUUUUGUAUUUUAGUUCUUAAAACUAAAGCCCCCCCCCGCGCCCCCCCCCCGUCACAAGAAGGGAAGGCACAGUGGAAACAAUCUCUCUCCUUGGGGUCAGGGAACCAGUACUCCCCACGCCAGCUGUGUAACAGCUCCAGGUACGGACAGGAUGCCCAUUUUUCAGAGCACAUCCGUUCUCCCUCCACCCUGUGAAGGAGGUGGAUCCAGUUUUGUUCUUACAUCCCGUAGGCAGAGAAAGUGACUUACGCAAGCACACAGUGAAAUCUCCAGACUUCAGGAGUCCCCGUUUACCCACCACCUUGUUUACCGGAGCCCAGAAAUGAACGCCUUUAAAUGCCCUCACCCUCCCGUAGUUCCCAUUUAUCCCCGCCCCCGUCCUCGCUGGGCACUGCCCAUCUCCAUACCCAAAAUCUCCCCCGUCAGCUUGAAGAGCUGCUUCUCUUUCAAGGUUCUUUCUGGGCGCGUAACUGGACUGUUCAUAGCUGGCGCUACAUAGACGGGGUUCCUCUUAUCUCUUGAACCAGGCGAUGAUGGAGGACAUUUUGCUGUCAGAAAUUCAAAUAUAGGCCAAGAAAUGUUAUGUUUUGUUAAGCAAUUAUUCAUCGGUGUUUGUUGAGCAUCUAUUACGAGUACCUCCUGUUAAAUGUUGAAGAAACAAAGAAAACCCCUAAGGAGAUGCUCCCGCUAUCAUGAAGGACUUCUUAGCCUAUAGGAUCAGUUUCCAGCCUGAAGUUAAGUCUGCUCAGUUGCUAUAAAAGUUUCUAACUUGCUACCUCCAUUUCUGUGCUUAUCUUGGGCUAGAAACAACAGUUCCAGCCAGUGGGGCACAUGCUGGGAGCACGCCCAGGGGUGCUUCUCAGACUUUAACAUUCACAGUUUUGUUAAGCGCAGGUUCUGGGGUGAAGCCCGAGAUUCUGCAUCGCCGGCAAUUCCAGGACACGCGGCCAACGUUCCUGAGUGAUAAUGUUCACCACCGCAGAGCUAAUCCCAUUUUACAGUCUAUUUGAAGCAGCGCUAGUGCUGCCCUCAUCCUCACUGGCUGACGAGGAAGUCUAACAGACGACUGAAGGCAGGACUUCACUUCCCGUUUCACACACUGUGGGGUCACUUCCACUCCUCGUUGCACUAAUCCAUAUGCAAAACCUAUAGGCUCUUUACUUUUUAUAUAUUUUUAUUGAUUUCAGAGAGGGAGAGAGAUAGAAACAUCAAUGAUGAGAGAGAUCAUUGAUCAGCUACCUCCUGCACGCCCCCUAUGGGGGAUCGAGCCUGCAACCUGAACAUGUGCCCUGACCAGGAAUUGAACCGUGACCUCCUGGUUCAUAGGUUGAUGCUCAACCACUGAGCCACACCAGCUGGGCUCCUUACAUUCCUACUAGCUUAGUACUGAAUUCAGCCUCUGCCUACUUCUUGAUCUAAUACUUUUCUAUGACUCGCAUGCACAGUCAUAGCACUUACAGUAAAAAGGCCUCUCUAUGGCCUCUAUGACCAAAAAGUACACGGAGAAGUCCCAUUGCUGGCUCUGUAGUUCUUGCAACUGUAUUACCUACACUAGGGUGCUAUAAUGCUCCGAGCCCAGUAAUGCUAACAAAGUUACAGCAUACUCCUUCCCAGUCCUUAUGAGACGCAAUCAUACCCAGUUCUCUCUGCACCAGACAGACUUAAAAUCACAUCUCCCGUCAACCACACAGCACUAGUAAUUGCAGCCAUCCUUAUUCAAACCCCGGGAAGCCAUACAGUAGGAGCCCUGCCCUGCUAAUCGCACACGGCCUCACCUCCUCAGUACGACUCCCCCGGCAAACUCAAAUGAUGAACCAAUUCACAGCCAAACUAUAACUUUAGCUCAUGGCCUACAAACAAUUCUUCCACCAAUAGUAGCACGAUGACUACUAGCAAGUCUUACUAAUCCAGCUUUACCCCCAACAAUUAUCUUAACUGGAGAAUUCCUCGUAGUUAUAAUCAACAGUCUC